rnacentral:rRNA from 1 species
UACGUAGGGUGCAAGCGUUGUCCGGAAUUAUUGGGCGUAAAGAGCUCGUAGGCGGUCUGUCGCGUCGGAUGUGAAAACCCAGGGCUCAACCCUGGGCCUGCAUUCGAUACGGGCAGACUAGAGUUCGGUAGGGGAGACUGGAAUUCCUGGUGUAGCGGUGAAAUGCGCAGAUAUCAGGAGGAACACCGAUGGCGAAGGCAGGUCUCUGGGCCGAUACUGACGCUGAGGAGCGAAAGCGUGGGGAGCGAACAGG